rnacentral:rRNA from 1 species
UACAGAGGUCCCGAGCGUUGUUCGGAUUCAUUGGGCGUAAAGGGUGCGUAGGCGGCGGAGCAAGUCUGAUGUGAAAUCCCGGGGCUCAACCCCGGAACUGCAUUGGAUACUGCCUUGCUAGAGUACUGGAGAGGGAACUGGAAUUCCUGGUGUAGCGGUGAAAUGCGCAGAUAUCAGGAGGAACACCGGUGGCGAAGGCGGGUCUCUGGGCCGAUACUGACGCUGAGGAGCGAAAGCGUGGGGAGCGAACAGG